rnacentral:lncRNA from 1 species
CCCACCUCAGCCUUAGCUGGGACUACAGGACUCAUGAUCCUGAAGACAAUGAAGAAGAAAUAUGACAGUCGGUCCCGAGUGUGGAAUGAACACUCUGCUCUCCCAGCUGGGGAACUCCGUGAGGACCCACAUAAGCAAUGCAGAAGCAUUGGGAAACACAUGCAAUAACUGGGGCCAUCUGUUUUCUCCUGAAAACUAGUGGUGGGCUGGAUUCUCUGAAGAGUUUCUCAAGGCAUGUUGGACCAGAACAACCUGCUCAGAGAAGAGGCAAGGUCCCUGCCUGGGCCUCUGAGGUGUUGGAGGUGGGGCCAGCCCACCCCCAGGCCGUGAGGCCUGGCUGCUGGAAGGAGGCAGGACCCAGAAGGUUGCUGCCAUCCUGGGGUGUCUGAGUCCCCAUGUGGCCCAGCUGUGUUCCUGCUGGCCCGGCAUCCACACCCUUGUCUCUGGAUGUGCGGUGGGAGAAUUGUCUUUCUCCACGAACAGGCCAGGUGGUUCCUGGGAUUGACCUCUCUCUCCCAGGUGUGGACAAGCAGAGCAUCCUACGUCCCCAGCUACAGCGACUGGCUGAUAUGGUUUGGCUGUGUCCCCACCCAAAGCUCAUCUUGAAUUCCCACGUGUUGUGGGAGGGACCCAGUGGGAGGUAAUUGAAUCAUGGGGGCAGGUCUUUCCUGUGCUGUUCUCAUGAUAGUGAGUAAAUCUCACAAGAUCUAAUGGUUUUAUAAGGAGGCUGCACAAGCUCUUUCUCUGCCUGCUGCCAACCAUGUAAGAUGUGACUUGCUCCUCCUUUGCCUUCCACCAUGAUUAUGAGGCUUCUCCUGCCACAUGGAACUGUGAGUCCAUUAAAAUCUUUUUCCUGGAUAAAUUACCUAGUCUCGGGUAUGUCUUUAUCAGCAGCGUGAAAACGGACUAAUACGCUGGGCUAGGCUUGGUCAUGUGACCCAGGCCAAUCAAUGAAAUACAGGCUUGGGACUUUUGCAGGGAUAAUUUAGACAGGAAGGCUCUUUUCCCAUUAGGGUGCUAGGCUGGGCUAAUAUGUCAAACCAGCUGGUGGUCUCCCUCUUUAACCACAUGGAGAAAUCCCUUGCAAGUAGAAAAAAAAAAGCAAAGCUAUUAGACAGAGGAGGGUAGAGCUGAAGAUGGGGUGAUAGACAGCCCUGAUGACAUUGUUUGAAUCCCUGGAUCCAGGUGGUCCUGAAGCCUGCCUACCACCCCUGGUCUUUUAGGUAUUUGAACCCAUCACUUCCUUGUUUUGCUUAAACAAACUGUGGUUAGGUUCAGAAUCCUGGUUUAAACACCCGUCCCUGAGUUCUUUCAUAGGUUGCACUUGCUGUCCCAGGGCCUUUACUGUCUAGGUUGGAUGAUAGGUACACAGCCUUUCUCCUGUACUGGGGUGGAAGCCCUGGUGCCUGCUAUAUCUGGGCUUUGAUGCCUGGGUCAGGAUCUUGAAACUUCUCUGCAGGCAUUUCCUUUCAUGGGAAGCCCAGCAACUUGGCUGUUAGACUUGAGGUCAAAUCCUGGUCCUGCCACUGGGCAGGUGACCCUGUCUGCACCCCACUAUCCUCAUCUUUACAUUCUCCUGGGGAUAAUAUCCCCACCUCCCAGGAUGUCGGGGGAAUGAAUGAGAGAUGCUGUGAAGCACCAGGCAAGGUGCUGGUGGAUGUGGGAGCUGUUUCAAUUAUUGUUAUUUGUGCCUCACACACCCAGAGUGAAAGGGAAGCUGUGGGCUGGUCUCACAGGCCAGCCCCUGCAGCCUCUGAGUUUUUUAAUGAA